rnacentral:lncRNA from 1 species
CAAGUGUCACGGCCCAAUUCUCCCUCCGUAAGAUGUCGUGACGGCACCUAGUCUCUAUGACUAGGUAAGCCUAACAAAAAUGGGAAAAUAACAAAAAUGGAAGUGAAACUUAACAACUAACUGAAACUGAUAACUAAAUAACUAGUAACAAUUUCGCUCGGCAUGUACAAUAACCAACACUCUAGCAAUGCACAGUAUUCCCAAAACCCUGAACAUCAUAAGUCACAAGCUAUAGAAGUAAACUAGUAUCUCUAUACACCAGAUUCUAAUAAAAGAAGUACAGAAGGUAAAUGACAUAGGAGAGAAUAGAGGGGGACUCCGAGAUCUGCGGACGCGACAGAUGUACCUUGAAGAGUAGCAUGAGUACACCACAACGGUACCUAGUAAGUGCCAAGCCUAACCUCGGUAGAGUAGUGACGAGGUAAGGUCAGGCCCACUGGUAUAUAAUAAAUAAAGCAGGAGAUUACAACAGUAUAAUAAGAGAUUGGAAUUUAACAAAAAGAAAACACAGUGAAAUAACAGUACAACACACAGGGAUAAACAGUAGGAAAUCUCCCGAGAUACCGUCUCGUGGUCCCAAAAUAAAUAUGCAGGGAGAACGCCCGAGGUACCGCCUCGUAGUCUCAAAAGUAAAUAUGCAGGGAGAACUCCCGAGGUACCGCCUCGUAGUCGCAAAAGUAAAUGUACAGGGAGAACUCCCGAGGUACCGCCUCGUAGUCUCAAAAGUAAAUGGGCAGGGAGAACUCCCGAGGAACCGCCUAGUAGUCUCAAAAGUAAACACACAGCUCAAACCGUUAAAUACCACAAUUAACAACAAGAAUUCUACAGUUAAGACUGAUAAAGAACAAGGAAAAAUAGGUAAAUCAACUAGGCAUGCUGCACAAAGUUCAAAUAAGCAGUUAAAGCCCGUAGACAUACGAUAUUAGACUAAACAGGAUAACCAUGCAUAUUGGUAUAACUCAAUUAAGAAUGAAAAUAGGUUACUACUCAGUAAAAAUCGGGUUUUACAACAAAUAGCCAGUGUACGCACUCGUCACCUCACGUACACGGCGCUCACAUAUCACAUCAGUACCAAAUCCUAAGGGGAUUUCCUCCCCCACAAGGUUAGGCAAGCCACUUACCUCGAACCAAGCUCAAUUAAUCCGUAAUAAUGCCUUUUCCUUGAUUAUCCGACUCUGAAUGGCCCAAAUCUAGCCAAACACAAUUACAUAUCAUGAAUAAAAUUACGAGAAACUAAUUUAAAUAAUAAAUCUAUGACUUUAGCAAAGAAUCGAAAAUUCGGCCGAAAGAGUCGACCCUGGCCCGCGUCUCGGAAUCGGAUAAAAGUCAUAAAAUAUGAACACCCAAUCAACCACGAGUUCACCCAUACAAAAAUUACCAAUUUUCGACAUCAACUCGACCCUCAAAUCUUCAAAUCAAACUCUUCGAAUAAUUCCACCUUAAAUACACACUAACUAGGUGAAAAAAUAAAUGGGGAAGCAAGAUUAUUGAUCAAAAACAAGCAAAAGGGACUUACCUCACGAAAUCCCUCGAAAAUGCUCUCAAGAAAUCGUUAAACCCGAGAUCAAAAUGUUUAAAAUGAGCAAAAAUUGCUAACCCUUGCAUUUAAGUGUUCUGUCUAGAAAUUUCGCUUCUGCGGGCUUCUGGUAGCACCUGCGACGCCGCACCUGUGGAAUUUCCUUCGCAGGUGCAGAAAUGACUUAAGAGGGCUGGGUCUGCUUCUGCGAAAAAAGGGUCGCACCUGCGAGUGCGCGCCUGCGGACUAAUGUCCGCUUCUGCGGUCUUCUCCGCGCCUACGGUUCCUUAAGCGCAUAUAUGGGCAUCGCAGAUGCGAUAUUUCCCCUCGCACCUGCGACCCCUUGACCACCAUCCCAAAUCGGCUUCUACACUUGGUCUCCCCAUCGCAGGUGCGAAAACACCAGAAAACUUAAGCCAUUCCAACAAGUCCAAAAAUGAUCCAUUAACCACCCGAAAUCAACCCAAGGCCCCCGGGACCUCAACCAAACAUACCAACAAGUCCUAAAACACCAUACAAACCUAGUCGAGCCCUCAAAACACGUCAAACAAUAACAAAAACACGAAUCACCCUCCAAUCCAAACUUAAUGAACUUGAAACUUCAAAUUUCUACAACUGAUGUCGAAACCUAUCAAACCACGUCCGAUUGACCUCAAAUUUUGCACAAAAGUCAUAUUUAACAUUACGGACCUACUCCAACUUUCGAAAUCGGAAUCCGACCCCGAUAUCAAAAAGUCCACUUCCAGUCAAAAUCUCCAAAAAAUCGACGUUCGCCAUUUCAAGCCUAAAUCAGCUACAGACCUCAAAUUCACAGUCCGGACACGCUGCUAAGUCCAAAAUCACCCAACGGAGCUAACGGAAUUGACGAAACUCCAUUCUGGAGUCGUCUUCAUGCAGUUCCGACUACGAUCAAAAUCCUAAGACUUAAGCUUCCGUUUUAGGGACUGCGUGUCUCAAAACACUCCAAAACCAAAAGUAAGACUUCCCGGCAAGUCACAUACACAGAAACAGAUACGGGAAAAGCAGAAAAUAGGGUAUCGGGGCUAUUACUCUCAAAACGACCGGCCGGGUCGUUACAUCCUCCCCCUCUUAAAAUAACCGUUCGUCCUCGAACGAGCACAGAGACAUACCUGAAGUGGUGAAAAGAUGAGGAUAGCGGCUAUGCAUAUCAUGCUUGGUCUCCCAAGUUGCCUCCUCGGCCAGCUGACCCCUCUACUGAAACUUCACGGAAGCAAUAUUCUUUGACCUCAGCUUUCGCACCUGCCUGUCCAAAAUGGCCACCGGCUCCUCAACAUAAGAUAAAUCCUUGUCCAACUGGACUGAGUUAAAAUCCAACACAUGAGACGGAUCAUCGUGAUACUUCCGGAGCAUAGAAACAUAGAAUACUAGGUAAACCCCUGCUAGACUAGGAGGCAAGGCAAGCUCAUAAGCAACCUCCCCAACACGCCGCAACACCUCGAAUGGGCCGAUAAACCUUGGGCUCUGCUUGCCCUUCUUUCCGAACCUCAUAACACCCUUCACAGGUGACACCCGGAGCAGGACCUGCUCUCCAACCAUGAAUGCAACAUCGUGAACCUUCCGAUCUGCAUAACUCUUCUGUCUGGACUGGGCUGUGCGAAGUCGAUCCAGAAUCUCCUUAACCUUCUCCAAAGCAUCCUGAACCAAGUCUGUGCCCAAUAACCUAGCCUCGCCCGGCUCGAACCAACCCACUAGAGACUGGCACUGCCUCCCAUAUAAGGCCUCAUAGGGUGCCAUCUGAAUGCUCGACCGAGAACUGUUAUUGUAAGCAAACUCCGCAAGUGGCAAGAACUGAUCCCAAGCACCCCCAAAAUCUAUCACACAAGCACGGAGCAUAUCCUCCAUUAUCUGAAUAGUGCGCUCGGACUGUCUGUCCGUCUGAGGGUGAAAUGUUAUGCUCAACUCAACCCGAGUACCCAACUCAUGCUGUACAGCCCUCCAGAACCGUGAUGUAAACUGCGUAUCCCGAUCAGAAAUGAUAGAUACCGGUACGCCAUGAAGUCUGACAAUCUUGCGGAUAUAAAUUCGAGCCAAUUGCUCAGAAGAAUAGGUAGUCAUCACAGGAAUGAAAUGGGCUGACUUGGUCAGCCUAUCCACAAUCACCCAAAUUGCAUCAAACUUCCGCUGAGUCCGUGGAAGCCGAACAACGAAAUCCAGAGUGAUCUGCUCCCAUUUACACUCCGGAAUCUUUAACAUCUGAAGCAAUCCACCUGGCCGUUGAUGCUCAUACUUUACUUGCUGGCAAUUCAGACACCUAUCUACAUAUUCCACUAUGUCCUUCUUCGUUCUCCUCCACCAGUAAUGCUGCCUCAAAUCCUAAUACAUCUUCGCGGCUCCCAGAUUAAUGGAGUACCGCAAACUGUGAGCCUCCUGGAGAAUCAACUCACACAGCCCAUCUACAUUGGGCACACAUAGCCUGCAUCGCAUCCUCAGUGCACCAUCAUCUCCAAUAGAGACCUCCUUUGCAUCACCGUGUUGAACCGUGUCCUUAAGCACAAGCAGAUGUGGGUCAUCAUACUGACACUCCCUAAUACGAUCAUAAAGAGAAGACCGAGAGACCAUACAAGCCAAUACUUAACUCGGCUUAGAAAUAUCCAAUCUAACAAACUGGUUGGCUAAGGCCUGAACAUCCAACUCCAAUGGCCUCUCUAUUGUUGGUAGAUAUGCUAAGCUCCCCAAACGCUUCACCCGGCGAUUGAAAGCAUCGGCCACCACAUUGGCCUUCCCGGGAUAGUACAAAAUAGUGAUAUCAUAAUCUUUAAGCAACUCCAACCACCUACGCUGACGCAAGUUAAGAUCCUUCUGUUUGAAUAGAUGCUGCAAACUCCAGUGAUCGGUGUAGAUCUCACAAGGGACACCGUACAAAUAGGGCCGCAAAAUCUUUAAGACAUGAACAAUAGUUGCUAACUCAAGGUCAUGGAAAUGAUAGUUCUUUUCAUGCACCUUCAGCUGUCUGGACGCGUAGGCAAUCACCCUACCGUCCUGCAUCAACACCACACCUAGACCAAUCCGUGAGGCAUCACAAUAUAUAGUAUAAGACCCCAAACCUAUAGGCAAUACCAAUACUGGGGCUGUAGUCAAAGCCGUCUUGAACUUCUGAAAGCUCUCCUCACACUCCUCUGUCUACCUGAACNNNNNNNNNNNNNNNNNNNNNNNNNNNNNNNNNNNNNNNNNNNNNNNNNNNNNNNNNNNNNNNNNNNNNNNNNNNNNNNNNNNNNNNNNNNNNNNNNNNNNNNNNNNNNNNNNNNNNNNNNNNNNNNNNNNNNNNNNNNNNNNNNNNNNNNNNNNNNNNNNNNNNNNNAAGGUCUGAAGCACAGUCAUCGGGUGGUGCUCAUGAUCCUCCCGAGUCCGGGAGUACACCAGAAUGACGUCAAUAAACACAAUGACGAAAGAGUCAAGAUAGGGCCGGAACACACUGUGCAUCAAGUGCAUAAAAGUUGUUGGGGCAUUGGUCAGCCCAAAAGACAUCACGAGGAACUCGUAGUGACCAUACCGAAUCCUGAAAGCAGUCUUCGGGAUAUCUGGCUCCCGAAUCUUCAACUGAUGAUAGCCUGAACGUAAGUCAAUCUUGGAAAACACUCUGGCACCCUGUAACUGAUCAAAUAAGUCAUCAAUACGAGGCAAUGGAUACCUAUUUUUCACUGUGACUUUGUUCAGCUGGCGAUAACCAAUGCACAUAUGCAUAGAACCAUCCUUCUUCUUCACAAACAAGACAGGAGCACCCCAAGGUGACACACUAGGCCGAGUGAAGCCCUUAUCAAGCAACUCCUGUAACUGCUCCUUUAACUCCCUCAACUCAAGAUGAGCCACACGAUAUGGAGGAAUAGAGAUAGGCUGAGUGCCCGGAAACAAAUCAAUGCCAAAGUCAAUAUCUCUGUCGGGCGGCAUGCCCGGAAGAUCAGCUGGAAAUACAUCUGGAAAAUCCCUCACUACUGGGACUAACUCAACUGUAGGGGUAUCAAUACUGACAUCUCUCAUAUAAGCUAGAACACGUCACACCCCUUCUCAACCAUUCGUUGUGCUUUAAGAAAUGAAAUAACUCUAUUGGGAGUAUACUCUAAGGUACCUCUCCACUCUAAUCACGGUAAUUCUGGCAUAGCCAGCAUUGCGGUUUUAGCGUGACAAUCAAUAAUAGCAUAAUGGGGCGACAACUAGUCCAUGACCAAAAUAAUAUCAAAGUCUACCAUGCUGAGCAAUAAUAAAUCGGCUCUGGUCUCAAAACCACUAAGAACAACCAACACAACCGAUACACAUAGUCCACAAUAAUAGAAUCUCCCACAGGUAUAGACACAUAAACAGGAGAACUCAAAGAAUCACGGGCUACGUCCAAAUACGGAGCAAAAUAAGAGGACACAUAGGAAUACGUAGAACCUGGGUCAAAUAAAACUGACGCAUCUCUAUGACAGACCGGAACAAUACUUGUAAUGAUAGAGUCAGAAGAAACUGCCUCUGUACGUGUAGGAAGAGCAUAAUAUCUGGCCUGGCCUCCCCCUCUAGGGCGACCUCCACCUUGAGCUGGCUGAGCAGGUGGGGUAGUAGCUGGUGCUGUAAUCAUAGCCUGAGGACCCGGUGGAGCAUGUUGUGCCUAAGAAGUCUGUGGAAGUGCACCCCUCCUAAGUCUAGGGCAAUCCCUCACCAUAUGGCGAGUGUCGCCAUACUCAAAAUAAGCUCUCGGAGGGCGUGACUAGUGUGACUGCUAGGGCCAGGUUUGCUGGACUGACCGCUAAAAGCACCUCGUGCAGGAGGCGCACUAGAUACUGGCGGUGCAUAAUAAGGCUCUUGGGGCCUACAAGGGGUCGGAAUACCACUGGCGGCUGGAAGAGCUGAAUGAACAGGGUGACUCACAUAACCCCUACCAUGGCGAACUGCAGCUGGGGCACGAGUACUACUAUAAGUGCCAGACUCUCGAGACCUCUUAGCCUCUCUCUCCUUCUCUCCCGAGCAAGCAUACCCUCCAAUAUCCUAGCAAUACUCACAACCUGCUGGUAAGAAAUAUCCAUCUCUAACUCCUGGGCCAUGUUAAGCCUGAUACUGGGGUGGAGUCCCUCAAUAAACCGACGAACCCUCUCUCGAGAUAUGACAACCAAGGCUGGUGCAUGUCGGGCCAGAUUACUAAAGCGAAUUGCAUACUCUGAGACUCUGAGGAACAUACCUCCCUNNNNNNNNNNNNNNNNNNNNNNNNNNNNNNNNNNNNNNNNNNNNNNNNNNNNNNNNNNNNNNNNNNNNNNNNNNNNNNNNNNNNNNNNNNNNNNNNNNNNNNNNNNNNNNNNNNNNNNNNNNNNNNNNNNNNNNNNNNNNNNNNNNNNNNNNNNNNNNNNNNNNNNNNNNNNNNNNNNNNNNNNNNNNNNNNNNNNNNNNNNNNNNNNNNNNNNNNNNNNNNNNNNNNNNNNNNNNNNNNNNNNNNNNNNNNNNNNNNNNNNNNNNNNNNNNNNNNNNNNNNNNNNNNNNNNNNUAUGCCCAUACGUAUGAAGAAUGCGGUGACAAUCCUCCAGAAAACACGGGGCAUCCUCUGACGCCAAUCCACUAAAGGUAAGAGGGUGGUACUUCUUGUACCUCUCAAGUCUGAGCUGCUCUGCCUCAGAAACUGUUGCCCUAACCUCGGGCUAAGCUGGAGCUAACGGCUGUAUCGGUGUAAUCUCUGGAACCUGGUCGAUCUGAACCCACUGCUCUGGGGUACCAGUGACGGGAGUCUGUGCUCCUCCCCCGGCAUGAGAUGUGGUAGGAGUAAGUGGAAUCAAUCCAGCCUGAGCCAAGGUGCUGAACAUGCUAAGAAAGUGCCCUAGAGUCUCAUGGAGAGCUGGUGCAGCAACAGAUAUCUCAGGUGUCUUCCCUCCAGCAAGAGCUACUGGGGGCUCCUCUGUAGCAGCUCGUGCGGGUGCUCUGGCUGCACCGCAUGGAAGUCCUUGACCUCUACCCCGGCCCCGGCCCCGGCCUCUCGCGGCUCUAGCAGGGAGCGCGGGUGCUUGGUCAUCAGAUCCACUUAUACGUGUCCUCACUAUCUGUGAGAGAAUAGAAUACAAAAAUUUAGAAUUUCGAAGUCAACAAUUUCGCACGACAAGGAAUCAAAGAAGUGAAUUUUUUUCUAAUAGUUCUAUAGCUUCCUGAAGAUAAAUACAGAUGUCUCUGUACUGAUCUAUGAGACUCUACUAAACUUGCUUGUGACUCACGAUACCUAUGAACCUAGAGCUCUGAUACCAAUUGUCACAACCUAAUUCUCCCUCCGUAAGACGUCAUGACGGCACCUAGUCUCUAUGACUAGGUAAGCCUAACAAAAAUACGGAAAUAAUAAAAAUGGAAGUGAAACUUAACAACUAACUGCAACAGAUAACAAAAUAACUAGUAACAAUGCCACUCGGCAUGUACAAUAACCAACACUCUAGCAAUGCACAGUAUUCCCAAAACCCGGAGCAUCAUAAGUCACAAGUUACAGAAGAAAACUAGUAUCUCUAUACACUAGAGUCUAAUAAAAGAAGUACGGAAGGUAAAUGACAUAGGAGAGAAUAGAGGGGGACUCUGAGGUGUGCAGAUGCGGCAGAUAUACCUUGAAGCCUCCGUACAACAGCAAGCACUCUCAGCUAAUAGCGGGGCUGAUAAGAAGUACCUGGAUCUGCACACAAAACAUGUGCAGAAGAGUAGCAUGAGUACACCACAACGGUACCUAGUAAGUGCCAAGCCUAACCUCGGUAGAGUAGUGACGAUGUCAGGUCAGGCCCACUGGUAUAUAAUAAAUAAAGCAGGAGAAUACAACAGUAUAAUAAGAGACUGGAAUUUAACAAAAGGAAAACACAGCAAAAUAACAGUACAACACACACAGGGAUAAAUAGUAGGAAAUCUCCCGAGAUACCGUCUCGUGGUCCCAAAAUAAAUAUGCAGGGAGAACGCCUGAGGUACCACCUCGUAGUCUCAAAAGUAAAUAUGCAGGGAGAACUCCCGAGGUACCGCCUCGUAGUCUCAAAAGUAAAUGUACAGGGAGAACUCCCGAUGUACUGCCUCAUAGUCUUAAAAGUAAAUAUGCAGGGAUAACUUCUGAGGAACCGCCUCGUAGUCUCAAAAGUAAACACACAGCUCAAACCGAUAAAUACCAUAGUUAACAGCAAGAAUUCUACAUUUAGGACUGAUAAAGAACAAGGAAAAACAGAAAAAUCAACUAGGCAUGCUGCAUAGAGUUCAAAUAAGCAGUUAAAGCCCGUAGACAUACGAUAUUAGACUAAACAUGAUAACCACACAUAUUGGUAUAACUCAAUUAAGAAUGAAAACAGGUUACUACUCAGUAAAAACCGGGUUUUACAACAAAUAGCCAGUGUACGCAAUCAUCACCUCACGUAUACGAUGCUCACAUAUUACAUCAGUACCAAAUCCUAAGGGGAUUUUCCCCACACAAGGUUAGGCAAGCCACUUACCUCGAACCAAGCUCAAUCAAUCUGUAAUAAUGCCUUUUCCUCGAUUAUCUGACUCCAAAUGGACCAAAUCUAGCCAAACACAAUUACAUAUCAUGAAUAAAAUUACGAGAAACUAAUUUAAAUAAUAAAUCUACGACUUUAGCAAAGAAUCGAAAAUUCGGCCCAAAACAUCGACACGGACCCACAUCUCAGAAUCGGGUAAAAGUCACAAAAUACGAACACCCAAUCAACCACGAGUUCACCCAUACAAAAAUUGCCAAUUUUUGACAUCAACUCGAUCCUCAAAUCCUCAAAUUAAACUCUCUAAAUUCCUAGCCUCAAACUCUCAAAUUCCACCUUAAAUACACACUAACUAGGUGGAAAAAUAAAUGGGAAAGCAAGAUUAUUGAUCAAAAAUAAGCACAAGGGACUUACCUCACGAAAUCCAUCGAAAAUGCUCUCAAGAAAUCGCCAAACCUGAGCUCAAAAUGUUUAAAAUGAGCAAAAAUCGCGAACCCUUGCAUUUAACUGUUCUGUCCAGAAAUUUCGCUUCUGUGGGCUUCCAGUCGUGCCUGCGAUACCGCACCAGUGGAAUUUCCUUCGCAGGUGCGGAAAUGACUUAAGAGGGCUGGGUCUGCUUCUACAGAAAAAGGGUCAAACCUGCGAGUGCGCGCCUGCAGACUAUUAUCCGCUUCUACGGUCUUCUCCGCGCUUGCGGUUCCUUAAGCGCAUUUGUGGGCAUCGUAGAUGCGGUAUUUCCCCUCGCACCUACGACCCCCUGACCACCAUCCCAAUUCCGCUUCUGCGCUUGGCCUUACGCACGUGCAAUCCCGCACCUAUUUUCAGAAAACUUCAGCCAUUCCAACAAGUCCGAAAAUGAUUCGUUAACCACUCGAAAUCAACCCGAGGCCCACGGGACCUCAACCAAACAUACCAACAAGUCCUAAAGAACCAUACAAACCUAGACGGGCCCUCAAAACACGUCAAAUAACAACCAAAACACGAAUCACCCUCCAAUCCAAACUUAAUGAACUUGAAACUUCAAAUUUCUACAACCGAUGUCGAAACCUAUCAAACCAUGUCCGAUUGACCUAAAAUUUUGCACAAUUCAUAUUCAACAUUACGGACCUACUCCAACUUCCGGAAUCGGAAUCCGACCCCGAUAUCAAAAAGUCCACUUCCGGUCAAAAUCUCCAAAAAUUUGACUUUUGCCAUUUCAAGCCUAAAUCAGCUACAGACCUCAAAUUCAUAGUCCGGACAUGCUCCUAAGUCCGAAAUUACCUAACGGAGCUAACAGAACCGACGUAACUCCAUUCCGGUGUCGUCUUCACACAGUUCUGACGAUCAAAAUCCUAAGACUUAAGCUUCCGUUUUAAGGACUACGUGUCCCAAAACACUUCGAAACCAAAAAGAAGACAUCCCGGCAAGUCACAUAAGCAUAAACAGAUAAGGGAAAGCAAAAAAAAGGGGAUCGGGGCUAUUACUCUCAAAAUAAUUGGCCGGGUCGUUACACCAAGGAACUGCGACGUCUAAGCAGCUCUACCUUGAAUCCUUGCGAUCACACUAUAACUCUGUCCGAGUCCUAUAUCUCCAAAACCUGGCUCUGCACAAAAAUGUGCAGAAGUGUAGUAUAAGUGCACCACAGUCGGUACCCAGUAAGUAUCAAGACUAACCUCAGUGGAGUAGUGAUGAGGUACAGUCGAGACACUCACUAGUCUAAUAACUUGUGCAAUAUAGUAUACAAAAAUAAUAGAAAACAAAUAACAAUGAUGGAAACAAUAAUCAACCAGUGAUAUACACAGUAGGGCAACAAGAACACCGUAAAUAUUGCUCAACAAAUAAUGAAUACAAGUACAACCAAUUAAUCAAGUCCUUCAAAUAUAAAUCUUUUGCCUAUAUAUUUUUCAAAUAAUAAUCUUCAAGAUAUGAUACUCUCCAAUAAAUAUAUUUCGAAUAUACUCCCUUCAAAUAAAUAUCUUUCAAAUAUAAUUCUUUCAAAUAAAUCUCUUUCAAAUAUAAUUCCUUCAAAUAAAUAUCUUUCGAAUAAAAGUCACCUGUGAUACCUCAUUUCAAAAUCAUAAAAAUACGGGUCUCAGCCCACUUUCAUAUUUCCACGACACCUUGUGCCAAUUUCUCUAUCACAACCGCACGGACAACUCAUGUGCCAAUAUCAUCAUCAUUUACUCACGACACCUCGUGCCCACAUUUCAUAUCACAACUGCACGAAUAAUUCACGUGCCAAUAUCAUUAUUAUUUACUCACAGCAUCCCGUGCCCACAUUUUAUUUCAUAAUCCGCCUGGCAAUAGCCAUAGGCUCUUGAUUUCAACAUAGAUCAGACUAUUAUCAAUUUACCAACAACAAGGCAAAUUGCACAAGAUAUAAAAAUAAACACAAGAAAAAUCACAACAUCACAAGAAAAUUACCAACGCAAUAACCCCACAUCACACAUAAGAAUUACCAACACAAUAACUCCACAUCAUCACGUAUCAUCCCUAACAAUAGACAGCCUUAUCUCUCCUAUAGCCACCCUUAUCACUCCUAUAAUAGCCACCCUUAUCACUCUGCCCAGACAAUAUCCUAACAUACAUAACCACAGUGAAAUGCCACCCUUAUAUCCUCAUAAUAAUAACUCAAAUCACACAACAAUUUACACAGAAAAUUAUCACGACUACACAGCACAAUCAAUUCAUAUCACAAUUUGUCCAACAAACACAACCAAUUCCAAUGAUAUAGUAAAAUUAAUAAAUUUCUCAAAAAUAGCCCAAGGCUCCACACAACGUAUAUAAAACCUCAAAAACAAUCAACAGAGAUAGAAAAUACUCAAUAUAGGGCAACACCUUCAUUAAUUCAAAUUCUUGAUAAUUAUAUUAACGCCUCAGUUUAAACUUAGUUCAUUAAUUAUUUGCAGAUGAAAAAUCCAUAAUAUAAUUAUUUCUAGGAAAUAUCAAAUCAACAAACUCACGGAAUUCACAUAAAUAUUCAAGUAACAAUCACAUCAAAUUUUCAUAUUAAAAAGAAUUCAACAAACGAGGAUUGAGGCAUGACAAGUAGAUGAUUUAAUAAAUGCCAAUAAUUAUCCAAUUUACUACACAAUAAUGCCUAAGACUUUAACACAAUAAAUUUUGCACAUAUAAGCUCGAGUACGUACUCGUCACCUCGCGUACACGGCUUUUCAUAUUUCACAAAUGGCACACAAGACUCGAUGCCUAAGGGGUAAUUCCCCCAUUCAAGGUUAGACAAGAUACUUACCUUUUUGAAGUUAUGACGAUAUUUCAAAAUUAUCUUUUUCCUUGAAUUGACCUCUGGAUAGCUCAAAUCUAUCCAAAUUAAUUAUAUAACUUCAUUAAAAUUCAUCAGAAAUAAUUCCGGAUAAUAAAACGUCGACUUAAAAUUUUAUUCUAAAAAGUCAACCAAAAGUCAACGCGGGACCCGCCUCUCGAAACCCGACAUAAUAUUCACGAAAUCCGAACACCCAUUCCGAUACGAGUUCAACCAUACCAAUUUUAUCGAAUUCCAAUAACAAAUCGUCCUCCAAAUCUUGAAUUUUUGUUUUUGAAAAGUUUUAUAAAAAUCUCAAUUUUCUCCAUUAAAACUCGAAUUAAACGAUGAAUAUAGCCAUGGAUUUAUGAAAUAUAAUCAUUCUUGGAUGUAGAACACUUACCCCAGUCGAAGUCAUGAAGGAAUCCUCAAAAUCGCCCAAGAACCAAGCUCCAAAAAAUCACAAUCGAAAUGAAGAAAUGACUGAUUUUUAACCCCCUUAUGUUUUUGUCGCUUCUGCGGACGAAUAUGACGCAUCUGCGGUCUCACUUUUGCGAGACAAAAAUCGCAUUUGCGAUUCUCACUGCCCAGCCCAAGCUCUCACCUGUGAAGCCAUUUUCGCUUCUGCGAUGGCCAGGCGCAUCUGCGCUUGCGCAUCUGCGCAGAAAUUGCCGCUUCUGCGGCCUUCUUCAUCAGCUUCUGCUCAAGUUGCUUCUGCGUUGCAAAUCCUCACUUCUGCGACCAAAUUCUUGCAGAAGCUAUCGCAUCAGUUGCUGUCCAGAACAGCAGAAUUCCAGCAGCUUUCUUUAAGUCCGAGUUGAUCCGUUAACCUUCCAAAAUUCACCCGAGGCCCUCAGGACUUUAACCAAAUAUACCAACAUGUCCCAAAAUACAAUACAAACUUAGUUGAGGCUUCAAACUACGUCAAACAAUGCCGAAACUAUGAAUCGCGUAUCGAAUCGAAUUAUGAGUUUUCAAAUCUUCCAACUUCUAUAUUUUGCAGCGAAACGUAUCAAAUCAAUCCGGAAUAACUUCAAAUUUUGCACACAAGUCACAAAUGAUGUAAUGGAACUNNNNNNNNNNNNNNNNNNNNNNNNNNNNNNNNNNNNNNNNNNNNNNNNNNNNNNNNNNNNNNNNNNNNNNNNNNNNNNNNNNNNNNNNNNNNNNNNNNNNNNNNNNNNNNNNNNNNNNNNNNNNNNNNNNNNNNNNNNNNNNNNNNNNNNNNNNNNNNNNNNNNNNNNNNNNNNNNNNNNNNNNNNNNNNNNNNNNNNNNNNNNNNNNNNNNNNNNNNNNNAAUUAUCCUACGGACCUCCAAAUCUAGAUCCGGAUACACGCCUAAGUCCGAAAUCACCAUACGAAGCUGUUGACAUUAUCUAAAUUCUAUUCCGGAGUUGUUUGCUCAAAAGUCAAACUACGGUCAACUCUUUUUAUUUCAAGCUUAAAAAUGAGAAUUGUUCUUUUAAUUUAAUUUCGAAUCUUCCGAAAAUCAAACUCAACCACACCCACUGGUCAUAAUAUAUAUUACGAAACUGCUCGAGACCUUUAGUCACUGAACGGGACAUAAAUUCUUAAAAUGACAAGUCGGGUCAUUACACCCAUGUUACACCAUCUUAUCUCAAGGAUUACAUUUGUAAUAUUGUUCAUCUGACUAAUCGUAGUGGAUCUUGAUUUCUAAGCCCUGUCACCCCAGAUUCAGUGGCUUUUAACGGUUUAUCUCUUUCCAAUCAACAAAUAUUUAACUUUGUGUCAAAUAUCCACGAACUUAUUAAUUAUGCACAGACAACAUAUCAUCCAAGAUGGCAAGAAGCAAUGAAAAAGAAAAUUGAUUCUCUUGAGCUCAAUAAGAUCUGGAAAGUAGUUGAACUACCCCAUGGAAGAAAAGCCUUACCAUGAAAGUAGGUAUACAAAGUUAAACACUAUUCAAAUGGAAGUGUGGAGAGAUUUAAAGCUCGAUUGGUUAUUUGAGGAGAUAUAUAGAAAGAGGGUAUUGAUUUCAAUGAGACAUUUUCACUAGUGGUGAAAAUGACAACCAUCAGGUAUAUUCUAACUACUGCAGUUAAAAAGGGAUGGGGUCUCUACCAAUUGUAUGUAAAUAAUACAUUUUUACAUGGAGAUCUAAAUGAGGAAGUAUACAUGAAGUUCCCAGUUAGGGUAAUGCCUCUUAUUCCUAUUCAUGUCUGCAAAUUAAAGAAGUCUCUUUAUGGCCUUCGACAAGCUUCUUGUUAAUGGUAUGCUAAGCUCACAACUGCUUUUAAUUUUAAGGAAUUCACCCAUUCUAUGAAUGACUAUUCCUUAUUUUUCAAAAAUAAAAAUUCUUCUAUCUCAAUCGUGGCAGUCAAUGUGGAUGAUAUCCUAUUAACGGGAAAUAAUAAUGCUGAAUUGAAUGCAUUAAAGAAAUUUCUGAAUUAAGAGUUCAAACUAGAGGACCUUAGGGACUUACAUUUCUUCCUGGGAAUGGAGGUUCUUCGAGAACCUCAAGGUUUGAUCCUUUUCCAAAGAAAGUUCACACUGGAUCUUUUGUGGGAAUUUGAUGCCCUCCAGCUAUAUUCUUGAGAAAUUUAAUUACUUAACUCACACUAGACCAGACUUGUCUUUCACCAUUCAACACCUGAGCAUGUACAUGCAAGACCAUAGACAAACAUAUCUCGAAGCUACUCAUCGAGUUCUUCGAUAUCUUUUGAAGGAUCCUAGUCUAAGACUUUUUAUGUCAUCUUCAUCAUCCUUUCAACUUCUAGCUUUUUGUGAUUUCGAUUGGGGGACAUGCCCAGACUCUCGAAAAUCAGUCAUUGGUUUCUAUAUUUCACUGGGUACCUCUCCUAUGAAUAUGGAAGUCCAAAAAGUAAACUUCCAUUUCACUUAGUUCUGCAGAAGCAGAGUAGCAUUCGAUGAGGCGAGUGGUUUCAGAACAGACUUGGUUGGUGCGACUCUUUGAACAUCUCCCAAUACCCAUCUCUCUUCUAGUUCCUCUCCACUCAGAUAGCCAAGCAACGAUUCAUAUCGCUAAAAUUCCCGUCUUUCACGAAUAGACCAAGCAUGUUGAAAUCGACUAUCAUUUUGUAAGAGAGAAAUUUCUUGUUGGUCUAAUCUCCCUCUCCUUUGUCAGAUCUUCCUCUCAGCUUGCCGAUCUAUUUACAAAAGCCCUCAUUGGUCCUCUUCAUCAUGAUUUAUUAGGCAAUUUGGGGAUUCUUUCCUCCCCCUCCAACUUGAGGGGGGGAUGGGUAUUGGUGUUGGAAUGACGAAAUUUGAUCGAUCUCCGGUGGAAAAAGAUUAUUCUUUAGAUGCCUCUGAUAAGAAAAUGAACAAAGAUGACAAAGUGAGUUU